rnacentral:miRNA from 1 species
CGAUGAUGAUGAUGACGAUGAUGAUGAUGAAGAUGAUAUCGACGUGCUUGUUCUAUUAUUUAUGGUUAUGUUUUCGUCGUCGUCAUCGUCGUUGUAA